rnacentral:rRNA from 1 species
AGCUCCAAUAGCGUAUAUUAAAGUUGUUGCGGUUAAAAAGCUCGUAGUUGGAUUUCUGCCGAGGACGACCGGUCCGCCCAUUGGGUGAGUAUCUGGUUCGGCCUGGGCAUCUUCUUGGAGAACGUAGCUGCACUUGACUGUGUGGUGCGGUAUCCAGGACUUUUACUUUGAGGAAAUUAGAGUGUUUCAAGCAGGCUUACGCCUUGAAUACAUUAGCAUGGAAUAAUAAUAUAGGACCUCGGUUCUAUUUUGUUGGUUUCUAGAGCUGAGGUAAUGAUUAAUAGGGAUAGUUGGGGGCAUUCGUAUUUAACUGUCAGAGGUGAAAUUCUUGGAUUGCGUUACGACAAACUACUGCGAAAGCAUUUGCCAAGGAUGUUUUCA